CUACGGGCUGCUGCAGUGAGGAAUUUUGCGCAAUGGGGGAAACCCUGACGCAGCAACGCCGCGUGAGCGAAGAAGGCCCUCGGGUCGUAAAGCUCUGUCAAGUGGGAAAAAAAUUUUUUGAUCAAUAGUCAAAAGACUUGAUGGUACCACUGGAGGAAGCACCGGCUAACUCCGUGCCAGCAGCCGCGGUAAUACGGAGGGUGCAAGCGUUGGUCGGAUUUACUGGGCGUAAAGAGCGUGUAGGCGGUUUAGCAAGUCAGAUGUGAAAGCCCUGGGCUCAACCCGGGAAGUGCAUUUGAACUGCUUGCCUAGAGUAUGGGAGAGGAGAUUGGAAUUCCUGGUGUAGAGGUGAAAUUCGUAGAUAUCAGGAGGAACACCCGUGGCGAAGGCGAUUCUCUGGACCAAUACUGACGCUGAGACGCGAAAGCGUGGGGAGCAAACAGGAUUAGAUACCCCCGUAGUC
rnacentral:rRNA from 1 species